rnacentral:lncRNA from 1 species
GCAAGUGUUGUCGACGCUUCCGUUCGAGGUGAAGUAGGAAUUCUAAUGGCCUGUUCUCAAGUACGGUUCAGGUGCUUGUGUAAUCGAAAGAGAGAAUUUCUAGGUGGUAGGUUCAUUCUUCUUUUUUCUUUUAUAGAUAUAUAGCAUCAGUGAAUGAAUCAAAUUUCUUGUGAGUUGAAAGAAGGGUUUUCACCUGAAUUUGGAAUAAGUUAAUGUCAACAACAAAAGUAUAAGUGACAGUUAAGUAUAGAGCGGGUGCUUACAUGUGGAGUAUGCUGG